CCAGCAGCUUGAUGGUCCAGUGUAUAACUUGGAACACAAUUGAGCUGACUCUGAUGGGCUUCACCAUCCCAGAACAUACAAUCCGUGACUAAAUGGAGGGCAUCACCUGUGCUCUAAAGGCCAGACUGGCACCUGCUAACAAGGUCUGCAAGGUAAAACAUUGUCCCCCUCCAGAAUCCAGACUUUGAUCUCAUCUUUUAGCAGCAUCUUAGACCAGUGUGUUUAUGUGGGUGUUCAGGCCUCCAAAGCCUUCACAAACAGCAACGGGCAGGAAGCUUUCUUAUGAAAAAGAAAAGGAAAAAAUGCCAGUUUUCACUGGGUGAAACGACUAUUUUCUGCAUACUAGUUUGAGACUGAGCCAAAGCUGUGAAAGCGGACUAUGAUUUUUGACCCUUCUCAUAACUACUUUCCCUCAUCUGUAGAGGUGAGUAAAAUCAUGCUAAGUACACUGCACUUCUAGGCUCUGAUGAGGAGAGUCAAACAAAACCUGUAUAUAGAAGUUUUAAUGCUGAUAUGGCUAAGAUUAACCUCGGAUUGAGCCUGAGGUUUGUAGUUGAGAUCAGCUACAGCUGCAACACCUGGACCAGAGUUUCACUGGAGUCAGGGGAUCAGAUUGCUUUGGCUUGGACCCCUACUCUACUGUGGACACUUUUUCAUUAGGCUAAUCCAUGGUCCCCCAGAUUGGCCCCAACAUCACCCCAAUUUUGUGCCAUGGUUGAUGAGGUGGUGUUGCAGAGCUGGAAAAUACCCUCAGAUCUCAAAAGAAAGAUGCAAAGUCCUGUAACCAAGUUAUGCUUAUUCCUACAUGCUCACACUCAUGGCAUAUCAGGAACUCAGGGCAGCCAAUUUUUCAAGCAGUGCUAAAACAUGUAUUUCACAUUGGUGAAAGGGAGGGACACCGAGCACUUAACCCUGCUCUUAGCCCUUCCCCCAGUUUUCUCUUUCUUGAGCCUGAAUUCAACUGGAAGCAUUAUUUUUAGAGCUGUUGAAUUUAACCCCAAACUCACCCACCCUUCCAGAAUCCUACUGUUGUGCCACAGUAAUGAUGUAAUACACAGUCAUCCCAUAACCAGGACUUGUACAGCACAAAGCCCAUUUGCACCCAUCAGAGUCUGCAAGGCAGCAUCAACCGAUGACUUAUCUUCUGGAGCACUGAAGGAAUUGAGUUCUGCCGAAGAAAUUAUUUAUGAAGAUUUUCCAAGUUGCUCAGAGCUUCAGAUGGAGGAGGUUGAAUAUGACUUCUUUAAUAAAACAGGCUGGGAUGUCAUGAAUGAGUUAAAAGGUCACAGGAAGGAAAUGUUGGGUUGGAUGCCAAAACUACUCUGGCAACAACUUCACACCAGGGGUUGGGCUCUUGUCCAUGACCAAGCAGCUCAUUGUUGGACAGUGCAAUUCUCCCAGGUGAGUGGAUGGCAACUGCAUGGGGAAGGUGGGAGCUGCCCGGCUGCUGCUGUGGGGUGCCCAGGGCUUGCCCAGCGGCUGAGCCCACUGGGGCCUCCAGCAGGUCACUCCCUGCUUGUAUGAGGUCAGUCAACUCCUGCCAUGGCAAUCUUAAUUACCGUUGACAGAAAGCAAUUGGAAAAAGGGAACCACAUUCUCAGUUGAAAACCAAACUCCCUUCCCAAGGUCUCCUCUUCUGAGGUCAGUAUUGCUCUGCUUUGACCUAUGUCCUAUAAGAACAUCCGUGCUCUUGCUGGAAGAGCAGAUUGCAGGAUGGACAACACAGUCAAUGUCUGGCUUUCAUCUCAUUCAC
rnacentral:lncRNA from 1 species